rnacentral:rRNA from 1 species
GACGAACGCUGGCGGCGUGCCUAAUACAUGCAAGUCGAACGCAGUGGGGACGGGUGAGUAACACGUGGGUAACCUCCCAUCAGAGGGGAUAACACUUGGAAACAGGUGCUAAACCGAUACUGAUGGAUGGACCCGCGGUGCAUUAGCUAGUUGGUGAGGUAACGGCUCACCAAGUCACCGAUGCAUAGCCAACUUGCGAGGGUGAUCGGCCACACUGGGACGGAGAAACGGCCCAGACUCCUACGGGAGGCAGAAGGAGGGAAUCGUCGGCAAUGGACGAAAGUCUGACCGAGCAACGCCGCGUGAGUGAAGAAGGUUUUCGGAGCGUAAAACUCUGUUGUUAGAGAAGAGGUAUCUAACCAGAAAGCCACGGCUAACUACGUGCCAGCAGCCGCGGUAAUUC